ensembl:lncRNA
UUGUAUUCACAUAAGUACUUUAAUCAGGCACUUUGACAAGAAGAAAAAAACAUCUGGCACAUCAGGGAAGAUAUAUGAUAUGCGUAGACAUUCGGGGGAACAUGUAUACUAUGGGCUACAUUCGGUAAGAAAGAGGAUGUAAAAUUGUAUAAAUAACAAACUGUAGAAACUGGUGAAUGGACAAAGUAAAAGCUCAAAACAACAUGAUAUCCCAGCUUCUUAAUUUCAGACAUAUAUAGCCUUGUGUUUUAGGGGCAAUUUAACAUGGCUUAACAAACACUUUUAAAGGUUUCUAAGUUGGAGUGAGUGCGUCCCAAAUGGCACCCGAUUCUCUACAUGGUGCACUACUUUUAUAGCACACUAUAGGGAAUAAAGUGCUAUUUGGAAUAUAGCGUCUGUGUCUCAAGGUAUUACUGUAGUUUCUCAGAGCCAAUAAAGGUAACGUUUCUUCAACUAACAUGUUCACAAUUCAAAAUGGCAUGAAGGCUCACAAACUGUCAGGCUAGAAGAAGCUCCAAUGUGACAAAUGAAGGAAAAUGUCACACAGGUCUACAUGGGUUGCGUCCUAAAUGGCACCCUAUUCCUUAUUUAGUGAACUAAUGUAUAGGGAAGUGCACUCCUUUUGCGGAGAAAAAGACCCCCAUAGGGCCCUGGUCAAAAGUAGUGCACUAUAUAGGGAAAUUGGUGUUAUGUUAUGGUACCAAGAAAUGGUGCAUCGUCAGACACUAGUUAUUAGCCAGUUACACCUAACUAUUAGUGAAAACUAAUAAUACUGUAAAUUAACAAUACUGAUAAUUUAAAAUACUGUAGCUCAGAGAAGGAACUAAGAGAAAACUAAAAAGCAACGCCAGCAUUUUAGUUAGUGCUCUGGUCUCAGUCCUGCAUGUGAUUUGAAAAGCAGUAUUUCAGAGAUUAAUCUGGCUAUGUGCAACACAAUGUCCCCUGCAAAGAAAUUAUGAAAAUAUCUGUUGCAACGAGCUCCUCCUGGUUCAGAAUGCUGGAGAGAAUCCCAUCGAUACUAAGAUGAACUUAGUGAGCUACAGUCUGUCAGACGGACACACACAACCCCUACUCAAACCUCAAGAGGUACACAGACAACCCCUACUCAAACCUCAAGAGGUACACACACAACCCCUACUCAAACCUCAAGAGGUACACACACAACCCCUACUCAAACCUCAAGAGGUAUACACACAACCCCUACUCAAACCUCAAGAGGUACACACACAACCCCUACUCAAACCUCAAGCGUUACACACACAACCCCUACUCAAACCUCAAGAGGUACACACAACCCCUACUCAAACCUCAAGAGGUACACACACAACCCCUACUCAAACCUCAAGAGGUAUACACACAACCCCUACUCAAACCUCAAGAGGUACACACAACCCCUACUCAAACCUCAAGAGGUACACACACAACCCCUACUCAAACCUCAGGGUUGUCCACAAAGAAUGUAAGCGGGGCGCUGCGCCACAAUGUGUACUGGCUGUGUCACUAUAUAUAUAUAUAUAUAUAUAUAAAUAAAAUAAAUUGGUUUACCCCACCGUACUCAGCAGCACCACCUUGUUAAAAAAAUCCUGGGGAGAAUUCAAACCUCACAGGUCACACACAACCCCUACUCAAACCUCAUGUCAGCUGUUUUGUCUUCUGUCUGUCUGGAUGGUUCGACUACCACUACAAUAACAACUAGACCUGUCUGUCUGGAUGGUAAGACUGCCACUACAAUAACAACUAGAC